UACGAAGGGGGCGAGCGUUGUUCGGAAUUACUGGGCGUAAAGAGCGCGCAGGCGGUCGUUCAAGUCGCGUGUGAAAGCCCCCGGCUCAACUGGGGAGGGUCACGCGAUACUGAUCGACUCGAAGGCAGGAGAGGGUAGUGGAAUUCCCGGUGUAGUGGUGAAAUGCGUAGAUAUCGGGAGGAACACCGAUGGCGAAGGCAGGUCUCUGGGCCACUACUGACGCUGAGAAGCGAAAGCAUGGGGAGCGAACAGG
rnacentral:rRNA from 1 species